rnacentral:misc_RNA from 1 species
GAUGAAGAACGUAGCGAAAUGCGAUAAGUAAUGUGAAUUGCAGAAUUCAGUGAAUCAUCGAAUCUUUGAACGCAUCUUGCGCUCCUUGGUAUUCCUUGGAGCAUGCCUGUUUGAGUAUCAUGAGCAAAUCUCAAAGUCAAUUCCUUUUGUUAAUUCAAUUUGGUUUUGCUUUGGACUUGGAGGUCUUGCAGAUUUCACAGUCUGCUCCUCUUAAAUGCAUUAGCUGGAUCUCAGUAAUUAUGCUUGGUUCCACUCGGCGUGAUAAGUAUCACUCGCUGAGGACACUGUUAAAAAGGUGGCCAGGAAAAUACUGAUUGAACCGCUUCUAACGGUCUAUUAAGUUAGACAAUUACCCUUAAGUUUGAUCUCAAAUCAGGUAGGACUACCCGCUGAACUUAAGCAUAUCAUACGCGGAGGA